rnacentral:misc_RNA from 1 species
GCAAACUUGGUCAUUUAGAGGAAGUAAAAGUCGUAACAAGGUUUCCGUAGGUGAACCUGCGGAAGGAUCAUUAUUGAGUGGUGAAGGGCUUCUAUAUUCUGGAACCCGAUCUCCCAACCCUUGUGUCUUCUACCUAUUUGCUUUGGCGGACCCGUCACCGCUGUGACCGCCGAAGGGUGUGCAAGUUAUUGAAACUUGCUCUUGGGCCCGUGUCCGCCAGAGAUACCUGAAUGCUUGUUAUAACAAUGGUCAUCUGAGUAAUAAAAAAAAUAAAUUAAAACUUUCAACAACGGAUCUCUUGGUUCCGGCAUCGAUGAAGAACGCAGC